AACAAGGAUUCCCCUAGUAACUGCGAGUGAAGAGGGAAAAGCUCAAAUUUAAAAUCUGGCAGUUUCACUGUCCGAGUUGUAAUUUAGAGAAGUGUUACCCGCGCUGGACCGUGUAUAAGUCUCCUGGAAUGGAGCGUCAUAGAGGGUGAGAAUCCCGUCUUUGACACGGACUACCAGGGCAUUGUGGUGCGCUCUCGAAGAGUCGAGUUGUUUGGGAAUGCAGCUCUAAAUGGGUGGUAAAUUCCAUCUAAAGCUAAAUAUUGGCGAGAGACCGAUAGCGAACAAGUACCGUGAGGGAAAGAUGAAAAGAACUUUGGAAAGAGAGUUAAACAGUACGUGAAAUUGCUGAAAGGGAAACGCUUGAAGUCAGUCGCGUUGGCCGGGGAUCAGCCUUGCUUUUGUGAGGUGUACUUCCUGGUUGACGGGUCAGCAUCAGUUUCGACCACUGGAAAARGACUUGGGGAAUGUGGCACCUCCGGGUGUGUUAUAGCCUUUUGUCGUAUACAGUGGUUGGGACUGAGGAACUCAGCACGCCGCAAGGCCGGGUUUCGACCACGUUCGUGCUUAGGAUGCUGGCAAAAUGGCUUUAAGCGACCCGUCUUGAAACACGGACCAAGGAGUCUAACAUGCUUGCGAGUGUUUGGGUGGAAAACCCGAGCGCGUAAUGAAAGUGAAAGUUGGGAUCUCUGUCGUGGAGAGCACCGACGCCCGGACCUGAUGUUUACUGACGGAUCUGCGGUAGAGCACGUAUGUUGGGACCCGAAAGAUGGUGAACUAUGCCUGAAUAGGGUGAAGCCAGAGGAAACUCUGGUGGAGGCUCGUAGCGAUUCUGACGUGCAAAUCGAUCGUCGAAUUUGGGGUAUAGGGGCGAAAGACUAAUCGAACC
rnacentral:rRNA from 1 species